AGGCAAUUGACGAAACAGUAUUUCUCUAUUUGGCGGGACAAGUGGUCUUUUUUCCUUUUCAAAAACCGCGACUGUUCCAGUGAAACAUACGCGGAGAAGGGUUUCCCAACGGAUUUCGUCACCGGUUUCAGCCAUGUCUGACAAGGAAGGCGGCGACGAUGCUUGUGCUGUUCGAAGUCCAGUUCAGCCUACUCCCGAUGACCUUCGUUGCGUUUUCGAAACCACUUCAUCGCGGUGCCAUCAGCAGAGACUCGAAGGCAAAACGCACUGCGAUAAGCAUCUCAAAUUUGAACCAGGAAGGCGAGGAAGGAGAGGAAGGCCUCCUAAGGCUUCUAGGGUUGAAUCUUAUGGUGGAAGAAGGCCUCUUAAGGCUUCUAGGGUUCUUGGAAACUUAGCUCAGGAAGCUGAAGAAAACGAGGCAAACGGUAAAAGUAACUGUGAUAAGCAUCUCGAAGUUGAAUGUCGUAGCAGAGGAACGCAUCCUGGGGCUUCUAUGGUUAAACGUGGUAGCAGAGGAAGGCCCUACGCGAUGCGUUGCGCUUUCAUCGAUGGUAGAGGACGUUGUAGAAAGCUGAGUUUAGGCCAGCAGAACAUUUGUGCAGAGCAUAUCAAAUCUAGUUGUCGAACGAAAGGGGAGGAGUCGAGGGUUAGGGUUUCUGAAACUCCAGUGGAAGAAAAUGGGAAGAAGGUGGAUAUUAGUUUGUACAAGACACCUCCAGAUGAGCUGCGUUGCAACCGAAAUGAUGGAAAGGAAUGGCGGUGUAAGAACUGGAGAAUCCAUGGUAAGAAUGUGUGCCAAGAGCAUCAUCUUAAGGCUUCCAGAGUUCUUCGUACGAGGAAAAAGAAUAUGGUAAAGGCGAAGGAAGAAGUUUUGGAUGAGGGGUACGAGGAGUGGGAGAAAGAUGGUACUUGCAAGCCCAAUUCUGUAGCCAGGGUUAAGAAUGAUCCCGGCAAACAGGGAUUGGAAAGCACAACGAAGUCUAAUGCGAGGGGAAACCAGAUCGAGUCAGAGAGGACCAUGACAUUGCGUUCCAGGAAGAAGGUGGCGCUGAACCUAGAUCAAAAUAUUAUGAAACCAGAUGAAAAGAAUACUGAACAAGAUGUAGAGGGUAAAAAGAAUAAAUUUAAGAGGAAUACUUAUGGAGUGGAUGAGGAUUCCUCCAUGUGCCAUCAGUGCCAAAGGAGCGAUAAAGAAAGAGUGGUUAUGUGUAACAAUUGUAGGAGGAAACGCUAUUGUGUGCCGUGCAUCGAGAGAUGGUAUCCUCAGUUGACUGAAGAUGCAAUUGUAAAUCUUUGCCCUUUUUGUUGUGGAAACUGCAAUUGCAAAGCAUGUUUACGUAAAACUGAAGGACUUAAGGAGCUGAGGAAGUCGAAAGUUCAGAUAAGUGAUGCUGAAAAAGUUCGGCACUCUAAAUACCUAUUACAUUCACUUCUUCCAUAUCUGAAACAAUUUGUUCAAGAACAACUAAAGGAAAAGGAGUUUGAUGCAAGGAUUCGAGGUUUAACACUGACGGAUGUAGAAAUACCAAAGGCAGACUGUGCUGUGGAUGAACGUAUGUACUGCAACAACUGCAAAACUUCUAUUGUCGAUUUCCAUCGAAGCUGUCCUAGCUGUUCAUAUGACCUCUGCCUUACUUGUUGUCGGGAGAUUCGUGAUGGCUGCCUGCAGGGUGGUAGGGAAGAAGUAAAAGAGGAAUUUUAUGAUAGAGGGACUGCAUACUUACAUGGGGACCUUUCUUCUGAAAAAAAAAAGUCUUCAAGGCCAAGGCGGUCUUCAAAACUGGACCAUGGAGAUCAUGCAUACUUCCAAAGGGACCAGGAAGCUCAUAAACUAAUGUCAGUGUGGAGAGCAAAUGAAAAUGGCAGUAUCCCUUGCCCCCCAAUGGAAAUGGGAGGUUGCGGCUGUGGCCUUCUAGAGCUAAAGCGUAUUUUUGAGGACAAUUGGGCAGCCGAACUGGAAAAAAAAGCAGAAAAAAUUGCAAAGAAAAACAAAGUUAAUGAUGUGCCUGGAACUUCUGAACAGUGGUGCUCAUGCUUCAACUCAGUUGGCUUGAUUGACUCUAUUAACGAGAGUUUACGGAAAUCUGCUUCUCGAAAAGAUUCCAGGGACAACUAUUUAUUUAGUCCAAGAGCUGAAGAUGUCCAAAAUGGGGCCUUAGAGCACUUCCAUCAUCAUUGGAUCAAGGGUGAACCAGUGAUUGUCCGCAAUGUGCUUGAACUUACAUCUGGCUUGAGCUGGGAACCUAUGGUUAUGUGGCGUGCAUUUCGUGAGAUCACAAGUGUAAAACGCUCCACCCAUCUGACAGUUACGGCAAUUGAUUGUCUAGAUUUGUGUGAGGUUGAGAUCAAUAUUCACAGAUUUUUCAUGGGAUACUCAGAGGGUCGAAGCCACGCCAACUCAUGGCCUGAGAUUUUGAAACUGAAAGACUGGCCUCCCUCCGAAUUAUUUGAGAAGCGGUUACCAAGACAUGGUGCUGAAUUUGUCAGUUCUUUGCCAUUUCAAGAAUACACGCAUCCCAACUAUGGCAUUCUUAAUCUUGCUGUAAAAUUGCCCGAAAACACGUUGAAGCCAGAUCUUGGGCCAAAGACCUAUAUUGCUUAUGGAUUUCCUGAUGAGCUAGGCCGUGGUGAUUCAGUAACCAAACUUCAUUGUGAUAUGUCUGAUGCGGUAAAUGUUUUAACUCAUACUGCUGAUGUAGUGCCGAGUAUUGAGCAGCUUGCUAUGAUAGAAAAGUCGAAAAAGAAACACAGGGCACAAGACCAAAUAGAAAUAUUUGGUGGACUUCCGACAGUCAAUCAAAAAGUUAAGGAGAAGCCUCAGUCAUCCAUCCUGGAACAAGCUAUUCUAGAUUCAUGUGCAAUUUCAACUUCAGAGGGGUCAAUCUUGUCUCCGGUUUUGACUGCAGAAAAUUGUGCUUCCUGCCCCAUGCCUGGAAAUAAUAAGCACCUUAGGGUAGUCGGUUGCAACCAAGAUAUGCAAGAAGAAUAUGUGGGUGGGUUUAAUUCAAAGCCAACAAAUGGUUUGGUGAAUCUUGGAGUUCAAAGGAGAAAAAAAUAUAGUACUAGGAGAACCAAACGUGAAAAAAAUGAAGAACUAGCUGGAAUUGAAGAACAGAUGGAAGUAAAUACUUUUUCAGUUGCUGCAAAUGCUGAAGGAAAAGUUGAAGUUAAUGGUAUGCUCUUACAUAGAGAUGGAAAUGCUUGUUCAUCUGGUUUAACAGUAAAACUUAAUGAAGGGCACAACUUACCAAAUGGAGAAGACUCGGUCUCUGGUUUUCAGUCGGAAAAGGUGGGGGAUAGUAAUGUAUCAGAGGAUACCCAGAAGGGCAUGGGGAAGCCUAGAGGUGUUCGAGGUAGAAAGAGAAAGGAAAGGAAAUUGCAUCCACACUUCCGUGAUAAGUCAAGGAAGCUGGAAACUGAGAUUGAUAUGGAAGGCUGCCAGAAUAGGGUGGGAACUGGAAGUAGUGAAGAAUGUGAUGUGUGUCUCGCUGAAAGCCAAACUUUUACUAAUGAAGCACCUUUAAUUGGUAUACUGAAGGAAAAAAUUGGGUCCUCCGGUUCAAAAGAUGAUGCUAAAAUUAAGGAUGAUGACAAGAUGGAAACUUAUAAUGAAAGAGGUAUACCACAUGAAGUUACUGGAAUCAAGGAGGGGGGGCCUGAACCAGCAGAUGGCGGUGCCCUUUGGGACAUUUUCCGGAGGCAAGAUGUACCUCAGCUAGAGGCUUAUCUUAGGAAGCACAGUAGGGAAUUCAGACACAUCCUUUGUAAUCCUCUAAAGCAGGUUUCUCACCCCAUUCAUGAUCAGACUUUCUACUUAACCACAGAGCAUAAAAGGAAUCUCAAAGAGGAAUUUGGGAUUGAACCAUGGACUUUUGUGCAAAAACUUGGAGAGGCAGUAUUUAUUCCGGUUGGAUGUCCUCAUCAAGUUAGAAAUCUCAAGUCAUGCAUAAAAGUUGCACUUGACUUUGUAUCUCCUGAAAAUAUUCGUGAGUGCAUCCGCUUGACUGAGGAGUUUCGUUCACUUCCAAAUAAUCACAGGGCUAACGAAGACAAACUGGAGGUAAAGAAGAUGACUCUAUAUGCAAUAAACCAAGCGGUAGAAGAUUUGGGGCACCAGUCUGGGUGAAUUAUCAUUUCGUUUGGUAUUAUAUUCUGCUUUCUGUUGCUCUCAGCUUUCCUUUACGCUGCUGUUCAACUAUAAUGCCGUAUCUGUGCAUAAUAUUGCUAGUCCAGCUUUUACAGGAGUGAGACGGUUGUGGGGGACCAGGAUCUGCCAGUAGCAAAUUCCAGAGAUAUCUCGAAAAUUUGUACUCGAAGCUGGUUCAACUCUGGAGACUAAUAUUUAAUGAUUCCAAAUUGAUUGGCUUUCCCUUUUUGAGUUCUGUAUAAAAGACCAAAUCAAUGUAAAGGCCAGACACUAAAUAUCUUCUCUCUUUUGGGGAUAUCUAAGUUUCUUAUAGUAGAAUGUCCAGUUUCCUCAUUCUCUUGUGACUUCUAGCUGUAGAACAGCAGAGAAUGAGGGUUUUUGCUCUCUUUUUGUACUGGAAAAUAGAUAUAUGGCACUCUAAUGCAUAGAUGUAGCUAUACCUAAAAUUAUAGUGAAAAGGAAUAUCAAAAUCAACAUGGCUUCGUUUUUGUCUAA